rnacentral:rRNA from 1 species
UACGUAGGGACCAAGCGUUGUUCGGAUUUACUGGGCGUAAAGGGCGCGUAGGCGGCUUAACAAGUCACUUGUGAAAUCUCCGGGCUUAACUCGGAACGGCCAAGUGAAACUGUUGAGCUAGAGUGUAGAAGGGGCAAUCGGAAUUCUUGGUGUAGCGGUGAAAUGCGUAGAUAUCAAGAGGAACACCUGAGGUGAAGACGGGUUGCUGGUCUAACACUGACGCUGAGGCGCGAAAGCCAGGGGAGCAAACGGG